CCCCGUCCCCCCCCAAGCACAUACCUCAUGGCUCCCGGAGCUGCCCCUGCUUGAGGCCGUGUCGAGCCCACCCGGCGCGGCAUGGCCCGGCGCGGGGUCCCCCUACUAUGCAUGGUGGCGGCGGGGGGCCGCGGCCGGCGUCGCUGAAUGUAGGGCGCGGGAUGGGGAGGGUUGGGAGGGGGUGGGGGGGGACACACACGCUGAGCUCCGUGACAAUCACAGUCUGUGACGUGCGAUUUUAAACCCUUUUGUGUUUUGGUCAGGAUUUUAAAGAAAGAUAUUUUUAUGGUAA